rnacentral:rRNA from 1 species
AUCCUGCCGGAGGCCAUUGCUCUUGGGGUCCGAUUUAGCCAUGCUAGUCGCACGGGUUCAGACCCGUGGCAAAUAGCUCAGUAGCACGUGGCCAAUCUACCCUCCGGAUCAGCACACCCUCGGGAAACUGAGGCCAAUUCUGUAUACGGCUCCCGACCUGGAAUGGUGGGAGCCCGAAACGCUCCGGCGCCGGAGGAUGAGGCUGCGGCCGAUUAGGUUGACGGUGGGGUAAUGGCCCACCGUGCCGAUAAUCGGUCUGGGUCAUGAGAGUGAGAACCCAGAGACGGAAUCUGAGACAAGAUUCCGGGCCCUACGGGGCGCAGCAGGCGCGAAACCUUUACACUGCACGCCAGUGCGAUAAGGGGUCCCCAAGUGCGCAGGCAUAGUGCCCGUGCUUUUCUGGACUGUAGGGCGGUCCAGGAACAAGGGCUGGGCAAGACCGGUGCCAGCCGCCGCGGUAAUACCGGCAGCCCAAGUGAUGUCCCCUGUUAUUGGGCCUAAAGCGUCCGUAGCUAAGGGC